rnacentral:rRNA from 1 species
CACGUAGGGCGCAAGCGUUGUCCGGAAUUAUUGGGCGUAAAGAGCUCGUAGGCGGUCUGUUGCGUCCGCUGUGAAAACUCGGGGCUUAACCCCGAGCCUGCAGUGGAUACGGGCAGACUAGAGUCCGGAAGAGGAGAGUGGAAUUCCUGGUGUAGCGGUGAAAUGCGCAGAUAUCAGGAGGAACACCGGUGGCGAAGGCGGGUCUCUGGGCCGAUAUUGACGCUGAGGAGCGAAAGCGUGGGGAGCGAACAGG